UGAUAAAAUGAAUUAACCUGAUGCAUAAAUAGAAUUGCAUGUUGAUCCUGGUAGCCCUAUUCUGUCUAAUUACAGUUAUAGAAAAUAUGUUAUAUAUAUUUAGAAAAAGAACAUUUGCUACUGACAUUCAUGUAAGAUUUUAGUUUGUGAAUUUAAUUCAAUUUAUUGAUAUUUGGCAAGCAUAGCAUAGUGCCAUGUUCCUUUUGCAGGACUCAAACCAUCAUUAGGACAUCUAUGGUUCUGUGCCACCGUGUUUUGUACGCCAAUCUCAUGCAUGCCAUGAUAGAUUUUUGAUUGCUACUAUUGUUCUUUUUCUUGCUGCAAAGUCAGAGGAAGCUCCAUGCCUUUUGAAAUUCUAAAUCCUAUUAGUUUCUGUUGUUGUUAAUGUAACACCGAAUUGGUUAAACAACUGCAUUUGAUUGAGUGGUAUUAGAGAUUAUCUUCA